rnacentral:tRNA from 1 species
GGGGAUUUAGCUCAGUGGUAGAGCGCUUGCCUAGCAAAUGCAAGGGCCUGGGUUCGGUCCCCAGCUCCG